rnacentral:pre_miRNA from 1 species
AGGUUAUGUAGUGCAGCCAAGGAUGACUUGCCGGCAAUCGUUAUAACAUAUAUCUAUGGAUCUUGUUGUUAUCUUGAAUGCACUAAUUAAUUAUGUAUAAUGCAUAUAUAUUUAUGAUACAUGAUAUGUUAACAAGGUGAUCGACCGGCAAGUCGUUUCUGGCUACAUAACUGCCUCC